AACACAUGCAAGUCGAACGGGCUCUUCGGAGCUAGUGGCGGACGGGUGAGUAACACGUGGGAACGUGCCUUUAGGUUCGGAAUAAGCCCGGGAAACUGGGUCUAAUACCGGAUGUGCCCUUCGGGGGAAAGAUUUAUCGCCUUUAGAGCGGCCCGCGUCUGAUUAGCUAGUUGGUGGUGUAAUGGACCACCAAGGCGACGAUCAGUAGCUGGUCUGAGAGGAUGAUCAGCCACAUUGGGACUGAGACACGGCCCAAACUCCUACGGGAGGCAGCAGUGGGGAAUCUUGCGCAAUGGGCGAAAGCCUGACGCAGCCAUGCCGCGUGAAUGAUGAAGGUCUUAGGAUUGUAAAAUUCUUUCACCGGGGACGAUAAUGACGGUACCCGGAGAAGAAGCCCCGGCUAACUUCGUGCCAGCAGCCGCGGUAAUACGAAGGGGGCUAGCGUUGCUCGGAAUUACUGGGCGUAAAGGGAGCGUAGGCGGACAUUUAAGUCAGGGGUGAAAUCCCGGGGCUCAACCUCGGAACUGCCUUUGAUACUGGAUGUCUUGAGUGUGAGAGAGGUAUGUGGAACUCCGAGUGUAGAGGUGAAAUUCGUAGAUAUUCGGAAGAACACCAGUGGCGAAGGCGACAUACUGGCUCAUUACUGACGCUGAGGCUCGAAAGCGUGGGGAGCAAACAGGAUUAGAU
rnacentral:rRNA from 1 species